UACGAAGGGGGCUAGCGUUGUUCGGAAUCACUGGGCGUAAAGCGUAUGUAGGCGGCUAAGUAAGUCAGGCGUGCAAGCCCGUGGCUCAACCACGGAAUUGCGUUUGAAACUACUUAGCUUGAGUACAGGAGAGGAAAGCGGAAUUCCCAGUGUAGCGGUGAAAUGCAUUGAUAUUGGGAAGAACAUCUGUGGCGAAGGCGGCUUUCUGGUCUGUUACUGACGCUGAGAUACGAAAGCCAGGGUAGCGAACGGG
rnacentral:rRNA from 1 species